rnacentral:rRNA from 1 species
GGCCCAGACUCCUACGGGAGGCAGCAGUGGGGAAUAUUGCACAAUGGGGGGAACCCUGAUGCAGCGACGCCGCGUGAGUGAAGAAGUAUUUCGGUCUGUAAAGCUCUAUCAGCAGGGAAGAAAAUGACGGUACCUGACUAAGAAGCCCCGGCUAACUACGUGCCAGCAGCCGCGGUAAUACGUAGGUGGCAAGCGUUAUCCGGAUUUACUGGGUGUAAAGGGCGUGUAGGCGGGACUGCAAGUCAGAUGUGAAAACCACGGGCUCAACCUGUGGCCUGCAUUUGAAACUGUAGUUCUUGAGUACUGGAGAGGCAGACGGAAUUCCUAGUGUAGCGGUGAAAUGCGUAGAUAUUAGGAGGAACACCAGUGGCGAAGGCGGCCUGCUGGACGAUGACUGACGUUGAGGCUCGAAAGCGUGGGGAGCAAACAGGAUUAGAUACCCCGGUAUU